GAGUGGGAAAAAAGUGAUAGCUAAUCACUGAAAUCCGGGUUAAACACGUGACCCCCUCA
rnacentral:tRNA from 1 species